rnacentral:rRNA from 1 species
UACGGAGGGUGCGAGCGUUAAUCGGAAUUACUGGGCGUAAAGCGCACGUAGGUGGUUGGGUAAGUCGGAUGUGAAAGCCCUGGGCUUAACCUGGGAACUGCAUUCGAAACUGCCGGGCUAGAGUAUGGGAGAGGGAAGCGGAAUUUCCGGUGUAGCGGUGAAAUGCGUAGAUAUCGGAAGGAACACCAAUGGCGAAGGCAGCUUCCUGGCCCAAUACUGACACUGAGGUGCGAAAGCGUGGGGAUCAAACAGG